GUGCCUCCCACUUUUUAGAUGUUGUUUGGCAAACUCUAAUCUGGCCUUCCUGUUUUUGAGGCUCAACAAUGGUUUACAUCUUGUGGUGAACCCUCUGGUGAACAUAUACAAACUGUUGUAAUUCCUACACCGUUCACCUGAUUUGGAUGUAAAUACCCUCAAAUUAAAGCUGAAAGUCUGCAGUUAAAGCACAUCUUGUUUGUUUCUUUCAAACCCAUUGUGUUGGUGUACAGAGCCAAAAAAAUUUGAAUUGUGUCGAUGUCCCAUUAUUUAUGGACCUGACUGUAGGCACUACAUUAUGGCUUUGUCCUACAUAUUAUAUGCAAACAGCAAAAACAUAUGUGAGGAAGGCUGAACUUGAUGGGCGCAAGUCUCUUCUUCAGCUAUGUAACUAUGUAAGUAUAUUAUAUGUUAUUUAUUUGUCCCAUGUUUUAAAUGUUAUAGGGCAACAUAUUGUUUAAAACUAAAAAGUACUUGUUGGUGACAGGGUGAAUGUGAAUUUUAAAAGAUGGUCUAUACAUCUAUUUUGAUUUUAGGGAUGUGAAGGAAGCAAGAGUUUAGUACCCCAGUACCUUUGUUAGAAAAUAAUAUGGAAAUGAUGUUCAAGAGUUGCUUGCUCUUCUGUUCUGUCUUAACAAUUUAGACCUCCUUCACAUUUACCAGGAGGCUACUAGUUGUUUAAUGGUUGAUAUAAAACUUGUUAAUUGAAU